AUUCGAUCCAGGGGCUGGUCAUCAAGAUGGAGCAGGGUAUAGAGAAGCCAUUAGGGAUGAUACAGAACACCACCAAAGGAGCUCCUUCUGGGAUUCUCUAUUGGCUGAACUCAGCCAGAAGCUGCCAAGGGAGACCCCCACAACUGGAUGCAGCCCACUGAAGUCAGCUUCCUGGGGUGCGUAGCUGAAGGUAGCAGGGAGCAAAAAGAAUCUGAAGGGGAAGUGAACAAUGUAGAGCGUAUCUGUGCUGAAGACGUAAGGAGAGAGUGGAGGUCAGAAGCUGGCAUGGUCCCUGGUGCAUGUAUCAGCCGCUAAAGCUGGAGUGGAUGAAUCAGAACUUUCCCCAUGGGAGCAUUUAUAAAAAGGGGACACCCAGCGCAGAAGAUGUUUUCCAGGGAGAUCUCGGGGAGCCCAACAAGCCAAGAAGAGCAGAGCAAAGCAUUCCAAGGAAGGACUCUAAGUCUGCAACCGAGCACACACGAGCACAAGGAAAGACCAUGUGAAUACACAGCAAGAACGUGGUGCUCUGCAAGUCAGAAACAGACCCGUCAUCAGACACCAAAUCAGCCAGCACCUUGAUCUAGGAUUUCUGGCCUCCAAAACAGUGAGAAAAUAAAAUUCUGUUGUUUAAGCCAUGCAGCCUGUUGUAUUUCAUUAUGGCAGCCUGAGCAGAAUAAGACAGGUAUAUACAAAUGCAA
rnacentral:lncRNA from 1 species